AUUGAACGCUGGCGGCAGGCCUAACACAUGCAAGUCGAGCGGAUGACGGGAGCUUGCUCCUUGAUUCAGCGGCGGACGGGUGAGUAAUGCCUAGGAAUCUGCCUGGUAGUGGGGGACAACGUUUCGAAAGGAACGCUAAUACCGCAUACGUCCUACGGGAGAAAGCAGGGGACCUGCGGGCCUUGCGCUAUCAGAUGAGCCUAGGUCGGAUUAGCUUGUUGGUGAGGUAAUGGCUCACCAAGGCGACGAUCCGUAACUGGUCUGAGAGGAUGAUCAGUCACACUGGAACUGAGACACGGUCCAGACUCCUACGGGAGGCAGCAGUGGGGAAUAUUGGACAAUGGGCGAAAGCCUGAUCCAGCCAUGCCGCGUGUGUGAAGAAGGUCUUCGGAUUGUAAAGCACUUUAAGUUGGGAGGAAGGGUUGUAGACUAAUACUCUGCAAUUUUGACGUUACCGACAGAAUAAGCACCGGCUAACUCUGUGCCAGCCGCCGCGGUAAAAC
rnacentral:rRNA from 1 species